AACAAAUAGGAAUUUUCUUUUAUCAAUAAAAUUUAAAAAGAAAAUAAAUAUUUUUGUUAAGAAUUAAGGUGAAAUUUAUUCUUAAUCUUUAGAUUGAUAUAAUUAGAAUUCUUAAAAUAAACUAGGAUUAGAUACCCUAUUAUUUAAGAGCUUAACAUUGUAAGUACAUACAAAUUACGAAAGCAAAAAAUUAUGGCGGUAUUUUAAGCUUUUCAGAGGAAUUUGCUCUUUAAUGGAUAAAACACCUAAAUCUUACUUAAAUUUGUUAAUACAAUUUGUAUACCACUAUUAAAAUAAUUAUUAACUUUAAUUAUUUAAAUUUACAAUAAAUAAAAAAAAUUAAGUCAAGGUGCAGUAUAAAUUUAAGAAUGAAGUGAAUUACAUUUCUUUUAAGAGAGGAAAAAUUAAAAUGCAGUUAGGAUUUGAAAGUAAAAUUAAAAUAGAAUGUUAAUUUGAAUCAAGCUCUAAAAUAU
rnacentral:rRNA from 1 species